UACAGAGGUCUCAAGCGUUGUUCGGAUUCAUUGGGCGUAAAGGGCGCGUAGGCUGCGGGGCAAGUCGGGUGUGAAAUCUCAGAGCUCAACUCUGAAACUGCACUCGAUACUGCUUUGCCCGAGGACUGGAGAGGAGAUUGGAAUUCACGGUGUAGCAGUGAAAUGCGUAGAUAUCGUGAGGAAGACCAGUGGCGAAGGCGGAUCUCUGGACAGUUCCUGACGCUGAGGCGCGAAGGCCAGGGGAGCAAACGGG
rnacentral:rRNA from 1 species